AACAGGAAACCACUAAGUUCUAUUACAUAUAAGAACAGGCUCCAUCCUGAGGACCUUAACUCCACGGUUCUGAACUACAUGGCAAACACCAUGGAAUCUGGUCUCUCAGAAAUUAUCAGUGUGCUGAUAAACAACAAGCCAUCUUCCAUCAUGGCAUCCUAUAGCUUGCUGCUGAAGAAACUAGUGAAGUCUCAGAAGGAGCAUAAAAGCCUAAAGAAAAACCACAUGCACUCAAAACAUGAUAACAAACUUCCCAAAACCAUGAAUCCAAAUCCAGAAGG